UAAUUACUUCAACGGCAUCGCUUCGAAAACACGUGGUAUUGGAAGGCUGAAACAUGGCAUUGUUUCCCAGUACCCAUCAGGACCAGGACGAUGCGACUCAAGUUUCGUCACCAGUUACCACGCAAUAUUCGUACCAUCCGUCACAAGUCCAGGGCGAUCAGUCGCAGGAAAAAGACGAAAAAGUUGAGAAUGAAUUCACUACCGCGGAGAUACGCAAGGCUUUCGUGAAAAAGGUGUACAUAAUCUUGACGAUUCAACUGCUGGUGGUAGGUAUUGAGCUUCAUCUUGUUCUUUUCCUUUCACCAGCCCACGAAGCGAUGGAUUCAAAACAAUACUUACAUUCUAUACAUAUCCCUAGCCGUGGCGUUUAUAAGUAUCGUCCUCUUGGCGUUUUUCACGGACUUUCGACGCAAGGUGCCAUGGAACUAUCUGUUGCUAGGCGCCUACACCGUGGCAGAGGGAGUUAUUCUGGGGAUGUUGGCUAGUUGCUAUGCGCGAAAUGCGGUGUUGACGGCAGUCGCCAUUACAGCAAUUAUAACUCUGGCUUUAACCGUAUUUGCAUUAAAAUCCAAAUAUGACUUCACCACGUGGGGAGGAUUCUUAAUAUGCUUCUCAAUACCCAUCUUAAUUCUUGGAAUCAUCUGCAUAUUCGUCCGCAACCAUAUCUUAGACUACGUUUACUCCGCGCUCACAUGCAUCAUAUUCUCUAUGUACCUCGUGUAUGACACACAACUCAUGUUAAUGGGCAAACAUAGGUACACCGUAGGUCCGGAGGACUAUGUGUUCGCGACGCUGAACUUGUAUGUUGAUAUUGUCAAUAUUUUCAUGAUAGUGUUGGACUUAUUGUUUAAAUCGAAGAAGUAGAGAUAGUAUCAUUAUUAUGCUGCUUCGGUGUGUGCGAAAGAGUUAUGUAAGUACGAAUGUAUCGAUGUCCCAUUCGCGCAUCGGAGCGGUGUGCGGAGCCUUAGUGAAGAAAAUAUG